GGAAGAUCUCCUGGAGAAGGAAAUGGCAACCCACUCCAGUAUCCUUGCCUGGGAAAUUCCAUGGACAGAGGAGCAUUGUGGGCUAUAGUCCAUGAGGUCACAAAGCGCCAGACAUGACUUAGCAACUAAACAACAACAACCCAGUCUUCAUGCACCUGUAUGGCUCCUCACACUUGAAAAGGGCUGACUGUAUAAUAAUAAAACAUUGCACAAAUGAUAAAGCUCAACUUCCAGAGAUAGGUCAUAAAAGACAUUGUACCUUCUGCUUUGCUGUCUGCUUGAUCACUCAUCCUGGGGGAAGCCAGCUGCCAUGUCAAGAGGACACUCAAGUAGCCCCAAGGGAGAUCCAUGUGGCAAAGAACUAAGGCUCCUACCAACAGCCACGUGAGGGACUCAUCUCAGAAGUGGAUUUCCAGCUCCAGUUUAGCUUAAAGAGACCGCAGCCCCAGGCAGCAUUUUAACUACGAUCUCAUGACAGGUCCUGAGCCAGAACCAUCUACCUAAGCCACUCUUGAACUCUUGACCUGAACAGAAACUAUGAUCAGUUCUGUACUCAUUUUACUUCAGCCAACCCAGAACUGGGCAACCACUAUGUAGCAAGCAAUCUGUUAGACACCGAAGACACAAAGGGUCAAGUUUCAGCCUUUGGCUCAGAAGUCCUUUUUGGAGACAGACAAGCAAACAGGCUUCAAACAUUUUGUGGGACAUUACAAAACUCACGUCCUCUGUGCCCAUGGAACUUCAUGACUCAAACAACCGUGACUGAGGGGCCAGGCUCGCUGGCACUGUGAUGGAGGGAAGAAGGUCCCAGGAAGGCAAAAAUACCUAAUGGCCAGGAAAAUCAUCUGUCCCUAUUUCUCUCAUCAUCCUACUCUUAUUAUUCUGGGUAGAAAAUGUGCUUCAAAACUCGUUUAAGCCGCUAUUAUAAGAUGGAUAUAGUGCUAUGCAGAUUGAAAUCUAAAGAAGAGGAAGAGAGGCUCUUUGAACUCAGGGGGGAAAUCAAGAAACAUGGAAGAAAAAGAGUAAAGAGAUGGAAUAAUCAGAGAGAAGUACUGUUUCCUAAAAAAACUGAUGAUGUGGGAUUUUCCUAACACAUGAUCCCAGCGUGCUGAACUCUGCGUGUCUGCAGGAAAGUGACACAGCACUGUGGCACCAGAUCCAGUUCUGAAGGCAGGAGCCUGAAGCUAAAAAAAAAAAAAUUUAAAUAUUCAGUUGAUAAGACAUAAAGCAGUAAAGGUAUGACUUUUCCUCUUGAUACAUUUGUAUCAUGUCAGAGUUAAUCUUGAUUUUGCCAAGACUCCUAAUAUAUAAGCUCAAAAGAGAAACAGUAACAUGUAAAAUGUAAAUCAUCAGUGAGUAUUCAGAUAAAAUUUCAACCACUUGGGCAAACAAGAAAAUAGAAAGAAAUGAUCAGAACACUUCUAUAAGCGUUCUGUCAACUCCAGGGUGGAGUGCUAGCUAUAGCUUAUCUCUAGGGGAUGGAAUUAUAAGUUAUUUUAUCUUUGUUUUGCUUACCUCUCUAUUUUCUUCUGUU
ensembl:lncRNA